rnacentral:miRNA from 11 species
AAUGUGGUCUGUAUGUGUGUGUUCCAGCUCUAUAUAUAUAUAUAUUAAUAUAUACACACACACACACACACACACAUACACACACACACAC